AGUAACGCGUGAGCAACCUGUCCCUUACAGGGGGAUAACACAGCGAAAGUUGUACUAAUACCGCAUGAGACCACAGCAUCACAUGGUGCAGGGGUCAAAGGAGCAAUCCGGUAAGGGGUGGGCUCGCGUCCGAUUAGAUAGUUGGUGAGGUAACGGCCCACCAAGUCGACGAUCGGUAGCCGACCUGAGAGGGUGAUCGGCCACAUUGGGACUGAGACACGGCCCAAACUCCUACGGGAGGCAGCAGUGGGGAAUAUUGGGCAAUUGGGGGGAAACCCUGACCCAGCAACGCCGCGUGAGGGAAGAAGGUUUUCGGAUCGUAAACCUCUGUCCCAGGUGAAGAGGAAGAGACGGUAGCCUGGGAGGAAGCCCCGGCUAACUACGUGCCAGCCGCUGC
rnacentral:rRNA from 1 species